AGAGUUUGAUCAUGGCUCAGGACGAACGCUGGCGGCGUGCCUAACACAUGCAAGUCGAACGGAGAUAUGAUUUCGGUUGUAUCUUAGUGGCGAACGGGUGAGUAACGCGUGAGCAACCUGACCUUCAGAGGGGGAUAACACUCGGAAACGAGUGCUAAUACCGCAUAAGACCACGACAUGACAUCAUGACGAGGUCAAAGGAGCAAUCCGCUGAGGGAGGGGCUCGCGUCCCAUUAGAUAGAUGGCGGGGUAACGGCCCACCAUGUCCGCGAUGGGUAGCCGAGCUGAGAGGCUGAUCGGCCACACUGGAACUGAGACACGGUCCAGACUCCUACGGGAGGCAGCAGUGGGGAAUAUUGGGCAAUGGGCGCAAGCCUGACCCAGCAACGCCGCGUGAGGGAAGAAGGCUUUCGGGUUGUAAACCUCUGUCCUUGGUGACGAAAAAAAUGACGGUAGCCAAGGAGGAAGCCCCGGCUAACUACGUGCCAGCAGCCGCGGUAAUACGUAGGGGGCGAGCGUUGUCCGGAAUUACUGGGCGUAAAGGGUGCGUAGGUGGCCUUUUAAGUUGGAUGUGAAAUCCCCGAGCUUAACUUGGGUGGUGCAUCUAAUACUGGAGGGCUAGAGUGCAGGAGAGGAAAGCGGAAUUCCUAGUGUAGCGGUGAAAUGCGUAGAUAUUAGGAGGAACACCAGUGGCGAAGGC
rnacentral:rRNA from 1 species